rnacentral:rRNA from 1 species
GCUUAGAGAGGGGUCAAUGUCCUAUCAGCUAGUUGGUAGGGUAAUGGCCUACCAAGGCAAAGACGGGUAGCCGGCCUGAGAGGGUGGUCGGCCACACUGGGACUGAGACACUGCCCAGACUCCUACGGGAGGCUGCAGUCGAGAAUCUUUCGCAAUGCCCGAAAGGGUGACGAAGCGACGCCGCGUGUGGGAAGAAGGCCUUCGGGUUGUAAACCACUGUCGGGAGUUAAGAAAUGUAAGGGUGUUAAUAGCAUCCUUACUUGACUAAGGCUCCGGAGGAAGCCACGGCUAACUCUGUGCCAGCAGCCGCGGUAAUACAGAGGCGGCAAGCGUUGUUCGGAAUUAUUGGGCGUAAAGAGCACGUAGGCGGCUUUGUAAGUCAGUUGUGAAAGCCUUCUGCUCAACGGAAGAACAGCAUCUGAUACUGCAAGGCUAGAGUACGGAAGGG